GGCUGUUUGUGUUUCACUUCAAAUCAACUGAAGGAUGCCAAGAAUAAACAUCUGAUGUUAUUUUCUGCUAUUUCAAAGCAAAAAGGGCAAAACAGUGAUGCAGUAUUAGUUCACUGAAGUAUCAAUGAGGAGAAAAAAAAAGUUAGAAUAUUGACAUAACCCAGGCUUAUGUGUUGCUACACAGCAUUUAUCUGGCUGGAGCUCAAAACUCACAAAAACGAAGACGGCCCAAACCAGGAGGAAACCGGCUCCACUGCUUUCCAUUUCUGCUCAUCGACAAAGCUGAGGAAGUCGUCUUUGCUUCGAGCUCCCUGGUACUUCCGGAAGACGCCAUCCUUACAGCUGAAAUGCACACAAAAGCACAAAGACCAUUUAAAAAAGUGUGUACGGGGGGUCCUUGGUUUACGACGUCAGAACUGGUUAGGCGGAACUAGUUGAGAAAACCCACACAUGCACAGGGGGAACAUGCAAAGUCCAUGCAGAAAAAUCACUAACUGGGUAUCUUCUAGCUGCAAGGUGAAAGUGCUAACCACCAAACCACCGUGCAACCUAACUAAGUACUAAUAACAAGGUAAGUUGAGCAGAGAAUAACAAAAUCAGAGCAAAUAAAUCCUCAUAAGUAGCAGUAUUUAUAGUGUGUGUGCUAAUCAAUAACAAUUGCACUGCAUCAUGCAAUUAUCAUGUGUUUAUAUAUUCCUUUCUAGCUGUAAAUUUCUGUAUAUAUUGUGUUAUAUUUAAUUUUAUUUGUACUAUUUUUUUCCCUCCCUGUUCCUCUUUCUAUAGUUUCUUUAUUUUUUAUUGUUCUCUUUCAUAUUCCUAGGGUGACACCAACAGCCGAAACCAAAUUCCUUGUAUGUUGUGUACGUACUUAGCCAUUAAAGCUCAUUCUUAUUGUGAUAACUGUGAAAUAAGUAACCAAUAAUCGUUAAUAGAGCUAGCCUCUAUUCUACAAUAACUGAAUUCUUGUAGUUUACAGGGUUUCUGCAGAAAUCAGCCAGUCAAAUUUAAUGCUUUUUAAUGCCAUUUUAAUGCUAUACUGUAAAAAUUGUAAUGCCACGACUGCAAAUGCAACAAAUUACACAGAUUUGUUUUUUUUAAAAGGUGAUUUUUAUUUGAAAACUGUCCCUACAUUUCACUGUUUCCGAAUCUGGAAACCACCCCCUGACCACCCAAUUAUCGCAGUGCUUCGGCAUGUUUACGCAGAUGCACAUAUCUGACGAAUCGCCGUCUACAAUUAGAUAUUAUUAUAUUAAUUAUUGUCAAAUACUUCUCUUGAAAACUGCAGAAAGAAUUUUUAAUGCCACUGAGAAUCAAAUUUCAUGAUUUUUAAUGCCAUUUAAGGCCUUAAUGCUUAUUAAUGCCCUGCAGAAACCCUGGUUUAGUUCUGGCUUUUGGUUUUGAUUUGAAGAUUUUCUGUUAACCCAUCUGGCACCAGCUAAGGAAAUGCUCUGGUUGCACCCCUGUCCAGUAUGGAAACCAUUAACUGGAGGAUAUGCAUGCAAGCACAAGUCACAGUGUGGUAUGCGGUUGGGAAACAGGGCUCAUUCAGGCCUACCGGGCUGCUCUGUCACGUCCACCUUGGCUAUGUUGACCCCCAUGUCCUCCCCCCAGUCCGCAAACUCCUUCCACACCGGCUGCAGCUGCUGACACGCCGGACACCAGGGUGCGUAGCUGAGGAGGGGGGGCAAAGUUUCACAAGUAAACACCCAAAUAAACCGCACAGUCACUCACAUUAACGCGAAAAUUAGCAUUCAAAGCUGCUCGUGUACUUUAAUAGCAUGUUAGUUAGCAAACUAGCUAGCAUAUAAGUGUGGUGCGCUAAAGACGGCAGCUGUUAACGUAGUUUACACGUGUUCACAACUUUAAAGCAGACAAAAUAACAAUCGUAUAAGUCGGAAUAUUCACGCUUAAGCGGAUUCGAGAGUUAAAAUGACGUUUUGGUUUUUUUUUUGUUAACGAGCUGGAAAUGAAACUGUCAAGCUAUCUAGCUGGUUAGCCGUUAGCAGUGGACGUUAGCAGGUCACUGACAAUUCAAUCAUCCACUCUCCCGUCAGGAUGUCCUCCCAGUUCCCGUCCGUCACUUCUCUCAGGCUGUCCGGUUUGGCCGAGACCGACGAUAGAUAAAUCCCCAGCAGUAAAAAGCGCAUCCAUGAGCGGUGUCCGGCUCGUCGAGGUAAAGAAAACAUUGUUGUGCUGCCGCUAGCUAGCAAACACGCCAUGACUGAGCCGCUCACUUCCGCUGUGCGCCUCAUUAACGUCCGAGUCAGCUGGAGGCAGAGUUACAGUAAAAAUAAAAAGAUUUAAAAAAAAAAAAAAAAAAAAAAAAAGAUAAAUAAACAAAUAAAAUCUCUAUGCCUCUAUACACUAAAACAAGUAAAAAUGCAUAAAUAAAACUUGGAGUCGAAAAUAAAAACCAAACGUCAUAACUGCAUUUUAAAAAUACUUUUUCUGGUGUUGUAGUGAGUAGGUUAGUAGAUGAGUCAAAAAAGAAUAAUCACACACUACAUUUCUAAAUAUUUUACUCUUUUUUUGACAAUAAAAUAACAUCUUGA